rnacentral:rRNA from 1 species
ACGUAGGCACCAAGCGUUGUCCGGAUUUAUUGGGCGUAAAGAGCUCGUAGGCGGUUCAGUUAGUCGGGUGUGAAAACUCUGGGCUCAACCCAGAGACGCCACCCGAUACUGCUGUGACUAGAGUACGGUAGGGGAGUGGGGAAUUCCUGGUGUAGCGGUGAAAUGCGCAGAUAUCAGGAGGAACACCAGUGGCGAAGGCGCCACUCUGGGCCGUAACUGACGCUGAGGAGCGAAAGCAUGGGUAGCAAACAGG